rnacentral:rRNA from 1 species
UACGUAGGGGGCAAGCGUUGUCCGGAUUUAUUGGGCGUAAAGAGCGUGUAGGCGGCCAGUAGGUCUGCUGUGAAAACUCGAGGCUUAACCUCGAGCUGUCGGCGGAAACCAUCUGGCUAGAGUCCGGAAGAGGAGAAUGGAAUUCCCGGUGUAGUGGUGAAAUGCGUAGAGAUCGGCAGGAACACCCAGGGGGAAACCAGUCGACUGGGCAGCACCUGACGCUGAGGUGCGAGAGCGUGGGGAGCGAACCGG